GGGGGUGUGGCUCAGUGGUAGAGCAUCUGCUCUGUGCACCAAAAGGUCCUGGGUUCAAUCCCCAGCUUCUCCA